CAAAGUUUACGUUUCUGGCCAGGUUAUAUAUGUGAUUAUUUAGUAUUAUUUGGUAUUUGAGUUGAAUGUUAAUGAUUGAGGUUUUUGAGAUUUGUGCUUUCCUUGUCAACUCAGGCCAAUAAUGCAUAUAUUUUCCCUGGAUUUGGCUUGGGUUUGGUCAUCUCUGGAGCAAUCCGUGUUCAUGAUGAUAUGCUUCUGGCAGCCUGUAAGUUUAACACCUAUGAAGAAUAAUAAUUAUUAACUCCACCCCCAAAGCGACUUCAAAGGGAUUGAGAGAGAUUGACAUAACUAAGAUAAAACUUAAGUCUCUGACUCUCUGUCACCAGUAGAAUUGAACCAUGAAUUUUUGUAAUUGUGUUUUUUGAUGAUUCUAUGAUAUGACAUUAAGCUUAAUCAUAAAUAGGUAGUUGACUUUGAAGGGAAUAAAAUAACUAAAAUAAAUCUUGUAAGUUUCUGUCGACAGCAGAACUAAUCACAAAUUUCCAAAAUUACAUUUUUGGGAUGAUUUUCUGAACUGCUAUGAUGUUUAGGUUCAAAAUAGGGGCAUGUAGGCUUUAGAUCUUCUAUAGCUGUUGAAAAAUUAACUUACACAUUUAUGUUGUGUGCAUCCUGUAACAGCGGAAGCCUUGGCGGGACAAGUUUCAGAGGAAAACUAUGCCAACGGGCUGAUUUACCCACCUUUCUCUAACAUCAGAAAAAUUUCAGCACAUAUUGCUGCUAAUGUAGCUGCUAAGGCAUAUGAACUUGGGCUGGCUACACGUCUCCCUCGUCCAGAGAACCUUGUGAAGUAUGCUGAGAGUUGCAUGUACAGUCCUGUCUAUAGAAGUUAUCGUUAAUUUUGAGGUUUUCUUGGUGUGAAGCCACAUGUAAAAUGUAUUAGCUCUGAGCAAAAUAAGAUUCUGAUAUGAAUCAUCAACAUCGCCGGCUGUGUGUUGUAAUUUUGUGUUUUCCUUUGAUGUGAAGUUGCAAUUUUUAGUCUAUGUGCUUAAGAAGUUGUAUCUCCAAACAAAAUAAGAAUUUGAUAUGAAUAAUAAAUUAGACUUCUUG
rnacentral:misc_RNA from 1 species